rnacentral:tRNA from 1 species
AAGACACUAGUAAAACCAUUAUCCUGCCUUGUCAAGGCAAAGUUGUGGGUUAGACCCCCGCGUGUCUUG